AACAAACGCUGGCGGCGUGCCUAACACAUGCAAGUCGUACGAGAAAGGGUCCUUCGGGAUCUGAGUAAAGUGGCGCACGGGUGAGUAACGCGUGGAUAAUCUGCCCCUCAGUUGGGAAUAACUCAUCGAAAGGUGGGCUAAUACCGAAUAAUACUGUGAGACUUUGGUCGAUCAGUCAAAGAGAGCCUCUGCUUGCAAGCCCUCGCUGAAGGAUGAGUCCGCGUACCAUUAGCUAGUUGGUAGGGUAAUGGCCUACCAAGGCGACGAUGGUUAGCUGGUCUGAGAGGAUGAUCAGCCAUACUGGAACUGAGACACGGUCCAGACUCCUACGGGAGGCAGCAGUGAGGAAUCUUGCGCAAUGGGGGCAACCCUGACGCAGCAACGCCGCGUGAGUGAGGAAGGUCUUCGGAUCGUAAAGCUCUGUCAGUUGGGAAGAACUACCCAAGGGUUAAUAUCCCUUGGGCUUGACGGUACCAACAGAGGAAGCACCGGCUAACUCCGUGCCAGCCGCCGCCGUAAGAC
rnacentral:rRNA from 1 species